rnacentral:lncRNA from 1 species
UAUUCUUUUUCGUAAUGUAUCUAUUUCUAUCGAUUUUUUUAAACCAAGGAGCGAUCGUUGAUAAAUGAAAAGUCACAGUAGGUAGAAAAGUUUUGUUUAAUAUGUCAGAGAAAAAAAGUUUAGAGGAAAAUAGAAAAAAAGGAUAAGAAAGGAAUAGGAAGGAGUGAGAAAAAGAAUGAAAGAUUUAGUAGAAAGGAAGGUAGCAAGAAUUAGAAGAUAUACAAGAAGAUAUGGAUAGAGAAAUCAGAAAAUUAAAAGAGGAAGGGAGGAAAAGAGAGGAGAUGGAAAUUAAUUAGUGGAAAUUAAGGCUCCUGACUAGUCGCAGCGGGAUUCCAUGUUGGAAUCGUAAUAUCAGAAGCAAGGAAUGACAUGUUAAUUUAUGUUGCAUGCCAUUUUUAAAUAAAGACAAUUUGAAUGAAAUGAAAUGACGAGAUCACUUUAAAACACUUGCAAAAAUCGAUGAAAACUGUCCUCUGCAAGAAAUGGAAGAAAGGUAAAGAGAUCAAGGAAAAAUGGAGAAGAGAGAAUUCAGAGCUUUAUUAGAGAAAAAGUAAAAAAGAGAAAAGGAAAGUAGAAGAGAAGGAAAGGAACUGAAAAGAGAGAGCCGAAUGUAUGGAAGUAUAUAAAUAGGAAGAGAGGAAUUAAGGACAAUGAAACUAAAGUACAACAAGACACGGAUAGAUCUAUAACGUAAGAAAAAGAAGAAAAUAAAGGAAAGGGAAGGAUUGAAGGCCGAAGACAUAGAUAAAGCGUUGCUUAAGAUAAAGAAGAGUAAGGCGAUAGGAAUUGAUAGGAUAUCUAUGGAAACAUGAUUAUAUGCAAGCGAAGGUUAAGAUCGAAGUUGGUGUGUCUACUACAAAAAAGUGUGGAAAGGUACGAUGUGGUAGGCACGAUGCCGAAAAUUUGAAGGAAAGCAUAAUUGUACCAUUAUGCAAAAGAGGAGACGAGGAGAAGAUAAUCAAGCUGGAUUUAGAAGAAGAAGGUCAACGUUGGAUAAUAUUUUCAUACUGAUGUACUUGAUACAGAGGGAAAGAAGAAGGGCAAGAAAAAAGUAUAUAUAUUUAAAGGCCGGAUUUAAAGGUCGCCUUCGAUAAGGUGGAUAGAAAUAAACUAUGGGAAAUUCUAAGAGGCAAAAGGGAAGCGUUACGAGGUAUAAUGUGCACGUUCAAAAAAUUCUUGGAGGAAAGGAAAUUGGAACUGUAUAUAAUGUGUAUAGAAAAGACGAAAAUAAUGAUUUAUGGAGGGACAGAGAAGAAAA